UACGGUGGGAGCAAGCGUUGUUCGGAUUUACUGGGCGUAAAGGGCGCGUAGGCGGUCAGCACAAGUCAGUUGUGAAAUCUCCGGGCUUAACUCGGAAAGGUCAACUGAUACUGUGCGACUAGAGUGCAGAAGGGGCAACUGGAAUUCUCGGUGUAGCGGUGAAAUGCGUAGAUAUCGAGAGGAACACCUGCGGCGAAGGCGGGUUGCUGGGCUGACACUGACGCUGAUGCGCGAAAGCCAGGGGAGCGAACGGG
rnacentral:rRNA from 1 species